rnacentral:lncRNA from 1 species
AAUGUUACAUAAACUUGUAUUCAAAUAAAUUUGAUAUUUCUCAAGUUUUCAAUUAAAACUCAAUUUUCCUUUGUGAUAUUUAUAGUGUAAAGUCUUUUAAUCUGGUUAACGAUAAAAGUGUGGAGUCAUCAUCCUCAAAUGUAGAAGACAGUACAGGUUUGCAUUGAUAGUAUGCCAUGCAGAAUUAAAGCUCUAAUAGAUAAUAAAGGUUAACAUUUUUUAUAAAAUCUUAUAGUGUGCCUAAUAAUUUAGCCAGGGACUGUAUGUGCACUCAUGCCCCACUCCCUCUUGCUGUAUACCAUUGUAAUAAGCUAAGUCACCCCUCCCCCUUCACUACAUCAUAGUUUAUGCAUGUUCCCUAAGCAUUUUAAAAGUCUUUGAUUUUAAUUUCUGUUAGUGUAAUCUCUCUCAGAUAGUAGGAUUUUUGUUGUCACUAUAGUGACAAGCUACAAUUACUAUUUUUUAAUUACUGAUAUUCAAUAACUUUUCUUUCUAAAUUAAAUAAUAGGAUCUCUUUUAAAAUUUACAUUUUUUCUGCUCGUAAUAUACAAAAACAUAUUUAUAUCAUUAAUUGCCUAAACCUCUUUCAGUUUGUAUGUAUACAAAA